rnacentral:lncRNA from 1 species
GAGACAGAGAGAGAGAGAGAGAGAGAGAGAGAGAAAGGAGAGAGAGAACGCAGAGGGAGGGAGGCAGGGAGGGAGACCAAACCCCCGCUUUACUGCGUUGAAAGCUUCUGAAUUUCAAGCAGAAAGUAGAAGGAGCUCCAAAGGCAGUGAGCAUCUUUUCUUGGGCUGCGUGUGCCGAGCGUAGACAAUGAAAAUCUCCAUCCCCCUCCCCCAUUCCCACUAGGCUACAAGAUUCUUGUUUUCGUUCCUUCUCACCGGUGGAAAAUGUGUAAAAUCAAAGAUGUAGAGGUGUGUAGUGAUUUUUUCAAAAGCCAACUAACCCACCGCACGGGCUGCGACGCGGAUUACCCGAGCGCACGCCGGCUGGGCGCAUUCUGGGGUCUCUGCGCAAGACCAGCUCUCAGCUCUCUCUCCUUUCCUCGGACUCUGGAGCGGGAGCGGGCCUUUCCCUCGGGCCGACCACGCCGUAAGGGACGCCAUGAAAAGAGCCGUCGCGCCCGCUGCCUCCUGCCCGCUGCGCAGAGGGCUCCGCCCGUAGAGGUCAACUUCCCUCACCCUUUCCUCUCUCCUGCUCGCCCUCCCUCCGCUCGGCCCAGGCGCUUCCAGCCGCAGACUCUGGCCACAGGCUGA